CAGCCGCCACGGGAACACGGAGGAUCCAAGCGUUAUCCGGAAUCAUUGGGUUUAAAGGGUCCGUAGGCGGUCUUGUAAGUCAGUGGUGAAAGCCCAUCGCUCAACGGUGGAACGGCCAUUGAUACUGCAGGACUUGAAUUAUUGGGAAGUAACUAGAAUAUGUAGUGUAGCGGUGAAAUGCUUAGAGAUUACAUGGAAUACCAAUUGCGAAGGCAGGUUACUACCAAUUGAUUGACGCUGAUGGACGAAAGCGUGGGUGGCGAACAGGAUUAGAUACCCCCGUAGUCCCUGUCUCUUAUAA
rnacentral:rRNA from 1 species